rnacentral:rRNA from 1 species
UGAGGAAUAUUGGUCAAUGGACGCAAGUCUGAACCAGCCAAGUAGCGUGCAGGAUGACGGCCCUAUGGGUUGUAAACUGCUUUUAUAUGGGGAUAAAGUGGGGAACGUGUUCCCUUUUGCAGGUACCAUAUGAAUAAGGACCGGCUAAUUCCGUGCUAGCAGCCGCGGUAAUACGGAAGGUUCGGGCGUUAUCCGGAUUUAUUGGGUUUAAAGGGAGCGUAGGCCGUUUGGUAAGCGUGUUGUGAAAUGUAGGAGCUCAACUUCUAGAUUGCAGCGCGAACUGUCAGACUUGAGUGCGCACAACGUAGGCGGAAUUCAUGGUGUAGCGGUGAAAUGCUUAGAUAUCAUGAAGAACUCCGAUUGCGAAGGCAGCUUACGGGAGCGCAACUGACGCUUAAGCUCGAAGGUGCGGGUAUCGAACAGG